UACAGAGGUCUCAAGCGUUGUUCGGAUUCAUUGGGCGUAAAGGGUGUGUAGGUGGCGCGCUAAGUCGGGUGUGAAAUUUCGGAGCUUAACUCCGAAACUGCAUUCGAUACUGGCGUGCUUGAGGACUGGAGAGGAGACUGGAAUUUACGGUGUAGCAGUGAAAUGCGUAGAGAUCAUGAGGAAGACCAGUGGCGAAGGCGGGUCUCUGGACAGUUCCUGACACUGAGACACGAAGGCCAGGGGAGCAAACGGG
rnacentral:rRNA from 1 species